AAACAACUCUCAGCAACGGAUAUCUUGGCUCUUGCAACGAUGAAGAACGCAGCGAAAUGCGAUACGUAGUGUGAAUUGCAGAAUUCCGCGAAUCAUCGAGUCUUUGAACGCAAGUUGCGCCCGAGGCUUGACCAAGGGCAUUUCUGCCAGAGCGUCAC
rnacentral:rRNA from 4 species